UAAAUUUGUAGUUACUCCUAAAUUGAUCAGUUCCAAACAAAUCCGAAACAUCUGUUAUGCCGGUUCAAAUUUACCCGUUUUCUCUUCGAUACGAAAAACCAUCUGGGCCCAUUUCCAGUUGCUGCUUUAGCAAGCAAAAGCGAUUCUGAUUUCUUCUAUCUCUGCGAUUCUCUGAGAGAGAGAGAGAGAGAGAGAGAGAGAGAUGGCUUGCUUGCACGACCAUAGUUGCGAAGAUCACGAUUGUUCGGCUGAUUUUUCUCUCUACAAGCACGUAGACCUCUCCAAGGUUUCUGCUUUGAAUGAGGCUGUUCCAGGAAGUGUCAAGUCAGUUUUUAAAGCUUGGGAACAACGGUUAAAUAUUUCAGAGGGUCACUUGGAGAGCAAUGAGGGUGAUCCUGAGUUACUGGUUUUCAUCCCAUUUACAUCAGAUGUUAAAAUCAAGAGCAUUUCAGUUGUUGGUGGCGCUGAUGGAACAAGUCCUUCCAAAAUGAGGGCGUUCAUCAAUCGGGAAGGUAUUGACUUUUCUGAUGCUCAAAAUAUGCAAUCCAUUCAGGAGUGGGAUUUGGUGGAGAAUUUGCAAGGGGUUUUAGAGUACCAGACAAAAUAUUCUAGAUUCCAAGGUGUGGGAAAUCUCACCUUGCAUUUUCCUGAAAAUUUUGGUGGUGAUGCAACUCAGAUACACUACAUUGGCUUAAAGGGUGAAGCUACACAGUUGAAGAGGGAUGUUGUUGCAACAAUUGUUUAUGAGCUCAUGCCCAAUCCUUCUGACCACAAGUAAGUAUUCUUUCCCUUGGCUAAAGGUUUUGAAUACUUGAUUGUCCAUUUGAUGCAUAAUAUUCAUCAGAAUUUUGCGUGGACAACAAAAAUUGCAACCAAACAAUAGAAUGACGAAGGCUGAAGGUGGAGGCGGCCUUUCACAUGUGGAAUGAAGAUUAAAAAUAAAAGCAGCGGGCUCUUCAUAUAAAGUAGCGUAUCCCUUGUGUACAUUUGGCCACUGGAUAUUAACAUAAUCCUUUUUCAUCCUCAUUCUGGAACUGUCUGUUUCUCUUUGCACCUGAACGAUUAGUACCCCUUUUUUCCUUUUGGGCAAAGGGCCUACUCUUAAAUGAAUUACAUGAUGUUACUCAAGAUGAUAUCCAACUGCUCUUGAAAAAUUUUCGGUUAAUGGGAUAUUACAGUUUGUUAGAUUUAAUACUCUGAACAAGGUUAAUGUAACAUUUUUAACUUGUGCAUGGUUUGUUUCA